rnacentral:rRNA from 1 species
CCCUUAGAUGUCCUGGGCCGCACGCGCGCUACACUGAUGCAUUCAACGAGUAUUUCCUUGGCCGAGAGGCCUGGGCAAUCUUUUAAACCUGCAUCGUGAUAGGGAUAGAUUAUUGCAAUUAUUAAUCUUGAACGAGGAAUUCCUAGUAAACGCAAAUCAUCAAUUUGCAUUGAUUACGUCCCUGCCCUUUGUACACACCGCCCGUCGCUCCUACCGAUUGAGUGGUCCGGUGAGGCUUUGGGAUCUGAGCGGAAAGAGCGUUUCGCUGUUUCUGCUCGGAAAACUCAGUCGAACCUUAUCAUUUAGAGGAAGGAGAAGUCGUAACA